rnacentral:rRNA from 1 species
GAUGAACGCUGGCGGCGUGCCUAAUACAUGCAAGUAGAACGCUGAAGGAAGGAGCUUGCUCUUUCCGGAUGAGUUGCGAACGGGUGAGUAACGCGUAGGUAACCUGCCUGGUAGCGGGGGAUAACUAUUGGAAACGAUAGCUAAUACCGCAUAACAGUAGAUGUUGCAUGAUAUCUACUUAAAAGGUGCAAUUGCACCACUACCAGAUGGACCUGCGUUGUAUUAGCUAGUUGGUGAGGUAACGGCUCACCAAGGCGACGGUACAUAGCCGACCUGAGAGGGUGGUCGGCCACACUGGGACUGGGGCACGGCCCAGACUCCUACGGGAGGCAGCAGUAGGGAAUCUUCGGCAAUGGACGGAAGUCUGACCGAGCAACGCCGCGUGGGUGAAGAAGGUUUUCGGAUCGUAAAGCUCUGUUGUAAGAGAAGAACGAGUGUGAGAGUGGAAAGUUCACACUGUGACGGUAUCUUACCAGAAAGGGACGGCUAACUACGUG